rnacentral:misc_RNA from 1 species
GAGAGAGAAAACAAGAAUAAUAUUACAAUACACAUCUCUAUGAUUAAAAUAUGGCUAAAAAUUAAAACACAAGGAGCUAAACAUGUCCCAAGUCAUUUGCCACACUCUAAUAGUCUACUUCCAAUUUGACUGUAGAAUAACUUUUAAAUGGUAAGUCCUUGUCUAGUUGCUUUGUUGAUUACAUAUCAGGGAAACACAGCAACUAAUGAUUUAAAAAAUGUUAGAGAAGGCAGAGCUCAAAAUCCAACUCAGUAGGGAAGUGAAUGGGGGGAGAGUAGGGAUUAAAAGGAGCAAACUACAUUCAGAUACAAGCAUAGAUUUCAGUUACUGUCUACAGGAAAAAGUCUUGUUUGGAAGUACUAACUGUUACAAUGAAACAGAAUUUUCUGGCAAAUUUGCUAAUUACCUUUUCACAUUUUAGUGAAUCAAUGACAAAAUCCAAAAGUUUCAGGAUCCUCUGAUGAAGAAAUAUUCUUGCCACUAGCAGUUACAUAGUUUCUCCAGUUUGUAAGCCAUGAAGAGGGCACCAAGUAGUA